rnacentral:rRNA from 1 species
ACGUAAGGUGCGAGCGUUAAUCGGAAUUACUGGGCGUAAAGGGUGCGCAGGCGGUUGAGUAAGACAGAUGUGAAAUCCCCGAGCUUAACUCGGGAAUGGCAUAUGUGACUGCUCGACUAGAGUGUGUCAGAGGGAGGUGGAAUUCCACGUGUAGCAGUGAAAUGCGUAGAUAUGUGGAAGAACACCGAUGGCGAAGGCAGCCUCCUGGGACAUAACUGACGCUCAGGCACGAAAGCGUGGGGAGCAAACAG